GCAGCAGCCGCGGGAAUACGUAGGGUGCGAGCGUUAAUCGGAAUUACUGGGCGUAAAGCGUGCGCAGGCGGUUAUGUAAGACAGAUGUGAAAUCCCCGGGCUCAACCUGGGACCUGCAUUUGUGACUGUAUAGCUAGAGUACGGUAGAGGGGGAUGGAAUUCCGCGUGUAGCAGUGAAAUGCGUAGAUAUGCGGAGGAACACCGAUGGCGAAGGCAAUCCCCUGGGCCUGCACUGACGCUCAUGCACGAAAGCGUGGGGAGCAAACAGGAUUAGAUACCCCAGUAGUCCCUGUCUCUUAUAC
rnacentral:rRNA from 1 species